rnacentral:rRNA from 1 species
UACGGGGGGGGCAAGCGUUGUUCGGAAUUACUGGGCGUAAAGGGCGCGUAGGCGGCCUUCUAAGUCGGACGUGAAAUCCCUCGGCUUAACCGAGGAACUGCGUCCGAUACUGAAAGGCUUGAAUCCGGGAGAGGGAUGUGGAAUUCCAGGUGUAGCGGUGAAAUGCGUAGAUAUCUGGAGGAACACCGGUGGCGAAGGCGGCAUCCUGGACCGGCAUUGACGCUGAGGCGGCGAAAAGCUGAGGGGAGCAAACGGGG